AGCAGCCGCGGUAAUUCCAGCUCCAAUAGCGUAUAUUAGAGUUGUUGCAGUUAAAAAGCUCGUAGUUGAAUUUCGGGGUUAGCAGGUCGGUCGUGCCAUCGGUAUGAACUGGUCUCGCUGAUCCCUCCCUCUUGACGAACUGUGAUGCCAUUAAUUUGGUGUCGCAGGGAAUCAGGACUGUUACUUUGAAAAAUUAGAGUGUUUAAAGCAGGCUCACGCUUGAAUACAUUAGCAUGGAAUAAUGAAAUAGGACGUUUGAUUCUAUUUUGUUGGUUUCUAGGAUCGACGUAAUGAUUAAUAGGGAUAGUUGGGGGCAUUAGUAUUCAAUUGUCAGAGGUGAAAUUCUUGGAUUUAUUGAAGACUAACUACUGCGAAAGCAUUUGCCAAGGAUGUUUUCAUUAAUCAAGAACGAAAGUUAGGGGAUCGAAGACGAUCAGAUACCGUCGUAGUCUUAACCAUAAACUAUGCCGACUAGGGAUCGGGUGAUGUUAAUUUUUAAUGACUCAUUC
rnacentral:misc_RNA from 1 species